GACAGUGGCAACACAAAUCUGGUCAUAACCACAAACUUGUGGACUCCUAUGGUCUUCCAAGCAUUGCUGACAUGGUUUCGAGGACCACUGCACAUAAGAUUGUGCAUGGCAAGGAUCUGCAGGAGCUGAGAUAUCGCCACAAACUAAUGCUCAAGCCAGUGUUGACCAACCUUUUAUUGUUCCAAGUGUUUGUCGUAUUUGAUGCCUCUUAUUUUUUUUGGCCACCUGGAGCCUUUGUAUAGCAGCUCUGAGUGAUAUCUACAAAUUGUGGCAGCCAAGGGUAUUUAAUAUUGGCAAGUGCUAAUGUUCUAAAUUGCAAAAAUGUGGAUAGUGACGCUGAGUGAGCAAGUCCACAGACAAACGUCAUUGUAAUUCCAAGUCUCUUUUCUCUUUCUCAAGUGUUGAAUUUUACUACAUCUUGCUUUUUGAUGCACUUAUUCCAGCCACUCACUCGUGGACAGUCAACUUCCGUUAAUUCGAGCCAGACGGUGCCAACAAAACUGAUCAAAUUAUUUGGCAGGUCUAAUUAAACAGUAUGUAAAAAACAAACAUCACAUUUGUCCGAUUCUAACAUGCCCACUUUCUAUGUGUCUAAAGUAGAAAACUAGCGUAGGAAUGACAUCACAGCUUCUAAACCAAGUAGAAAUCUAAUGCACACCCAAUUGCCUGCCAAGAAAAAUGGACAAGGGUCUAACAUGGUUUUUAAGGUCACCAGCGUUAAAUGGUAAAGCACAAAUGUCACAAAGGCAGUUUGGUUUCAAAUACGCUGUCACAGUGCUGGCAAUUUUCGGCCCAAUUUGGGAAAAAAUAAAGCCACAUUAGAAUUAGGUGCUGCAAUCAGACGUUUGAGAGGUUUAGCUUGUCCGGUAAUCGGGUAAACGCGAGCAGACCGGGCGUUGGGGCCGGAACUGUUAACGUGAGCGGCCUGUAUGGUGCUACCACCUGGUGGCGCAGAAAUCAAACACAAAAAACAGCUAAUAUUGCAGUAAACAUGUGUAUUCUACUUCUCUGCCGGUGUAAAUUUUCGCUGUCACAUUUACACUAGCAGCAGAGUAGAAUACACUUGGUUACUGCAAUAUUAGCUGUUUUUUGUCUGUUUGAUUUCUGCGCCACCAGGUGGUAGCACCAUACAGGCCGCUCACGUUUACGGUUCCGGCAAAACGCCCCAACGCCCGGUCCGCUCGCGUUUACCCGAUUACCGGACAAGCUAAACCUCUCUACUGUCAGCUACGGCUAUUGCUUGGAAAUUAUCCAGCAAAGGCCAGUUUUAGGAUUGAAAUAACGAAAGUUUGGGCCCACAGAAAUGCAUGGGCACCAGCCAGGACCUUUGGUCAGGAUCAAAUUGAUGGAAGUCUACUGUAAUGCCGUGGCCACGAGGGCACAGGAAGGAAAACUGAGUUGUGGUUUUUGAAAAGAAUGAAGUUCGUAUCAGAAGUCGGAGCAUUUGCUAUUUGUUGUAUAAUGCACUUUUAUUGUUCAGCACUGUAAAAUUUAAAUUAUGAGAAAUAUCAUUCUUCAUGGAUGCAGAUACAGAAUGGGCACCAAUUUAACAUAAAGGAGAGGACAAAAGGGUGCGGGGGUAAAAGUCUGUCACGGCAGUCAUGCGUGCUAACGAUUAGUAAUGCGGCUGUAUUUGUCAGUUUUGCUAAAGUAAGAUUGCAUGUGGGCGAUGAUUGACUGCAACGAGUGACUGCGCAGCGGGCAUGCAUCAGCUCCUGCUAUUAUGUUGGAUCUGCCGCAAAGCCUCCUCACCUGAACUUGCUGCAUUUUUGAGCAUGCAUUGUAUUCGGAGCAUGUUGGUGCAUGCGAGAGGUUCAAUAAAAAGAGAGUUGGACAUGCUUG
rnacentral:lncRNA from 1 species